ensembl:ncRNA C01F4.4 ncRNA
GUCAUGAUUCCAUAGAUUGCCUCCAUCUCUUCUUCUUUUUCUUUCUUAUAAUCGUGAAUUUCCUUCUAUUUCUUUUU